rnacentral:rRNA from 1 species
GACGAACGCUGGCGGCGUGCUUAACACAUGCAAGUCGAACGGUGAAGCGCUUUCCUUUUUGGUUGGUGUGGAUGAGUGGCGAACGGGUGAGUAACACGUGAGCAACCUGCCCCCUUCUUCUGGAUAACCGCAUGAAAGUGUGGCUAAUACGGGAUAUUCUGCGCCUGCUGCAUGGUGGGUGUGGGAAAGAUUGUGCCUUUGGGUGUUUUCGGUGGGGGAUGGGCUCGCGGCCUAUCAGCUUGUUGGUGGGGUGAUGGCCUACCAAGGCGGUGACGGGUAGCCGGCCUGAGAGGGUGGACGGUCACACUGGGACUGAGACACGGCCCAGACUCCUACGGGAGGCAGCAGUGGGGAAUAUUGCACAAUGGGCGCAAGCCUGAUGCAGCGACGCCGCGUGAGGGAUGGAGGCCUUCGGGUUGUGAACCUCUUUCGCCAGUGAAGCAGGCCUGCUCCUUGUGGGUGGGUUGACGGUAGCUGGAUAAGAAGCGCCGGCUAACUACGUG